ACUUGUAGCCGAUGCUUUCCAUUCCCUAGUCCUUGCAGGCUUGAAGUCCCUGGGCAUUGAGUCUCCGAGCGAGCGAGACGGACUCUGGGGAACGUGAUAUCACGGAGGCCUAAGUCGUUGACUUCUCAGCUCCAGUUUCCACGACCCCUCGGAAGCAGCCUUGCCGUAGUAAAACCACAUGGUGACACAGCCCACUCCACAGCCAGCAGGGGAAGUGGCCGGUCAAAAGCCAGAAGUCCUGCCUUCUCUACGAACCGGUCCAGAAAAUGUCUCCCAGCGUCCCUUUGGCCCACCCAUAAAUGCUCUUCUGGGUUUUCAUUGGGCAGAGAAAGGUCUUGCGCGCGCUUAGUAAUGUAUAUCCGUUUCCGUCACAAUCACCGUGGCAACCACAAAACCGUGCCGUGAUGGUUCCUGGGAAACAGUGUGCCUUUGCCUGAGCAUCCUGAGCCAAUGAAACUUCAGAGGUAUGGUUUAAAUCUGGAGAGCAGCAGCGGAAGGGGCGGGACUUCUGGUCCCCACGCGGGUCCUGUGUUGCGUUCUUUAUGUAGCUCGUUCUCCUCUCAGCCCGUGGCGCUCCGCUAGAAGGAACGGACAGGGAGUGUCAGGAUGUAGUAGAACCUGCGCCAAGAGGCUCGGGCUCUUCGCUCUUGGCUUUAGUUCCUGUUGUCCCCGUAGGUUUCUCAAGUUAGGAAGAUCGAGAGCCUGAGGGCCGAUACCCAUUAUUACACGAUAUUCCAUUGUCAUUAAGCCAAUGGAAGUGUAAAGGUUAGGCUAACCCGAGAGGAUCUGCCCAGCCCAGAGCUUGUACGCUGACGGACCCAAACUACAGUGAAGAGAGAGUGCCCAAGAUCUAGUGCAGGGAGAUCUGGCAUCUCAAGUACCUGGAGUCUUGUAGGACAUGAUAUUCAAAACUGUAUGGAUCUGAAAAUUGCUGAAGGAAGACCCAAGACUCAGAUAGCGUGCAAAGACAAAGAGCAUUUAUUCUGCAGAUACAACCAGCAUGCUGAGGUCAACCAUUUUUGAAAUGGUGAACCCAGACAAAGGUGCACAGGCCUUAUAGGGAACUCUAGAAGGAUUAGGUAAUCUAAAAUGUAAUUGGUGCGUGCUAGGGGGUUACAGGUGGUCAGUGGUCUGUAUUCCUAUGUCAUGAACGCUUAACCACAGGAUGAGAUAGCACAGAUGGCCCAUCCUGAGAAAAGAUAUUUCCCCGGUUUUUUGUGAUGGUCCCCAGGGUAUUCUUCCAGAGGGGGUUUUAUGAUCUUGGUCUGGAUUUCAUGGUCUUUCCCUGGAGGUGGUGUCUUAGGGCCUAGUUUCUGGAACUUAUGGUCUGUUGUGGAGCUGCUAUUCUAUGGCCUUUUUAUUUUUUGUAAUUAGGGCCUGGUACUUAAAUGGGGUCUAUAAAUGGAGACAAGUGG
rnacentral:lncRNA from 1 species